rnacentral:misc_RNA from 1 species
UCUCCGUAGGUGAACCUGCGGAGGGAUCAUUAACGAACGAUCAUCCUUGAUCUUCCUACCCUCAAACCACUGUGGACAUGAGACGUGCUUCGGCGUCGUGAGGCGCCGCCUUUAUGCUCAAAGCCCUUCAAUGUCUGUCAUGAAUGAAAAAUGUCAAAACUUUCAACAAAGGAUCUCUUGGCUCUCGCAUCGAUGAAGAACGCAGC